GUUUACAGCCAUACUACCCUGAACAUACUUGGUCUCAGAUGGCAAGCAAGACCCACACUGGUUAGCAUUUGGAUGGGAGAUCAACUGUGAAUACUGGUUGCUGUAGGGU
rnacentral:rRNA from 1 species